AAACAGCAUCAUAUAAUCAUGUUACAGUUCUAUUUGAUUUGGCUUGCCUUGAGUCUGUUUGGAGAAUCCAAUGGAGACAUUGUUGUCACGCAGACACCACUGUCUUUCCAGGCAAAUCCUGGGGACCGAGUGGUCCUUCAGUGCAAAGCUUCCACUUCAGUGAGCAGCAAUAUGGCCUUAUAUCAGUUCAAAGAUGGACAAAAGCCAAAGCUACUUAUUUAUGGAGGCUCAAGCCGCUUUGAAGGGACCCCAGACCGUUUUAGUGGCAGUGGCAGUGGCACGGAUUUCUUAUUCACUAUCAACAACGUCAGACCUGAGGAUGAAGCACAGUAUUACUGUGGGCAAUAUAACAGCUUGCCUCUCACAGUGAUACAUAUCAGUACAAAAACCAGGCUGAUGGUCUGGAACAGCACUUAG